GAGGGUUAAAAAAAAGCGGCUCAGAUUGAACGCUGGCGGGAUGCUUUACAUGCAAGUCAGGAUGACAGCACGGACUUCAGUCUGGUGGCGAGUGGCGAACGGGUGAGUAAUGUAUCGGAACGUGCCUAGUAGCGGGGGAUAACUACGCGAAAGCGCAGCUAAUACCGCAUACGCCCUUCGAGGGGAAAGCGGGGGACCUUCGGGCCUCGCACUAUUAGAGCGGCCGAUAUCGGAUUAGCUAGUUGGUGGGAGAUUAACGGCUCGCAAGGCGACGAUCCGUAGCUGGUUUUGAAGGACGACCAGCCACACUGGGACUGAGACACAGCCCAGACUCCUACGGGAGGCAGCAGUGGGGAAUUUUGGACAAUGGGGGAAACCCUGAUCCAGCCAUCCCGCGUGUGCGAUGAAGGCCUUCGGGUUGUAAAGCCUUUGGCAGGAAAGAAACGGCACGGGAUAAUACCCCGUGCAACUGACGGUACCUGCAGAAUAAACACCGGCUAACUACGUGCCAGCAACCGCGGUAAUACACGUAGGGUGCAAGCGUUAAUCGGAAUUACUGGGCGUAAAGCGUGCGCAGGCGGUUCGGAAAGAAAGAUGUGAAAUCCCAGAGCUUAACUUUGGAACUGCAUUUUUAACUACCGAGCUAGAGUGUCAGAGGGAGGUGGAAUUCCGCGUGUAGCAGUGAAAUGCGUAGAUAUGCGGAGGAACACCGAUGGCGAAGGCAGCCUCCUGGGAUAACACUGACGCUCAUGCACGAAAGCGUGGGAGCAAACAGGAUUAGAUACCCUGGUAGUCCACGCCCUAAACGAUGUCAACUAGCUGUUGGGGCCUUCGGGCCUUGGUAGCGCAGCUAACGCGUGAAGUUGACCGCCUGGGGAGUACGGUCGCAAGAUUAAAACUCAAAGGAAUUGACGGGGACCCGCACAAGCGGUGGAUGAUGUGGACAAUUCGAUGCAACGCGAAAAACCUUACCUACCCUUGACCCGUCUGGAAUCCCGAAGAGAUUUAGGAGUACUCGCAAGAGAACCGGAACACAGGUGCUGCAUGGCUGUCGUCAGCUCGUGUCGUGAGAUGUUGGGUUAAGUCCCGCAACGAGCGCAACCCUUGUCAUUAGUUGCUACGAAGGGGGCACUCUAAUGAGACUGCCGGUGAUGACCGGAGGAAGGUGGGGAUGAUCAAGUCCCUGCAUGGCCCUUAUGGGUAGGGCUUCACACGUCAUACAAUGGUCGGGACAGAGGGUCGCCAACCCGCGAGGGGGAGCCAAUCCCGAAACCCGAUCGUAGUCCGGAUCGCAGUCUGCAACUCGACUGCGUGAAGUCGGAAUCGCUAGUAAUCGCGGAUCAGCAUGUCGCGGUGAAUACGUUCCCGGGUCUUGUACACACCGCCCGUCACACCAUGGGAGUGGGUUUUACCAGAAGUAGUUAGCCUAACCGUAAGGAGGACGAUUACCACGGUAGGAUUCAUGACUGGGGUGAAGUCGUAACAAGGUAG
rnacentral:rRNA from 1 species